rnacentral:rRNA from 1 species
UACGUAGGGGGCUAGCGUUGUCCGGAAUCAUUGGGCGUAAAGGGCGCGUAGGUGGCCCGGUCAGCGUGCGGUGAAAGCUCGGGCUCAACCCCGAGUCGGCCGUGCGAACUACUGGGCUGGAGCACUGUAGAGGCAGGCGGAAUGCCCGGUGUAGCGGUAAAUGCGUUAAUAUCGGGUAGAACACCAAGGCGAAAGCAAUAUGCUGGAACACAACUGACGCUCAUGAACGAAAGCGUGGGUAGCGAAAGGG